GGUGGCCUAGUGGUUAAAGCGUCUGCCUCGGAUAUGGGAGGUCGUGGGUUCGAGUCAUAUCAUAGACU